UUGCGAAAUAUUUACUUUGUAGCAAUCAAUACAUAGCACAAAAUAACAUAGUUUGAUAAAAUAAAAAGGACAAUGGAUCACUAUCGAUGUAUCUCGGGGUUUUUUUUAUAUUGAAACGUAUCUGUCGUAUUCAUAGCAACAAGCCGAAUUUCCAUGUCGUCUUUUAGAUGAAUAGUUGUGCGAAAACGCAUGGGAAUUCUUUGUUCCAAAAUCAUCUCAUUCGAAAAUACAAAUUUAUUUUCCAAUAGCUUGAAUAAAAUCAAACCUGCUCUUUCCCGGCCUAUCCGCCAUUUGGUGUUAUUUUGACACACCAUAUUUAACUCCCUAUAUGGCGUUAUUUUAACACUUUCCGUCGGUAAAAGAGGUGUUAUUUUGGCACCUUGCAAUGGUGCUGGUAAUAUGGUGUCAUAUUGGCACUUUUAGCGCCAAUCCAAGAUUUGGUGGUGUUAAAUUAGCACCGAAGUUGGUGCCAAAAUAGCACUUUCUAUUUAACACCACUGCAUGGUGUUGAUUUGGCACCUACGGUGGUGCUAUUUUAACACUUCAAAAUUAACAGUGUAUAUCAAAACCGGGUGAGCUGCUGGUGGCUGACGCUGGUCCUUUCUUAUUCGUAGAUAACAAAGACAUUAUAGACAAUGCUGGUGAUAUUGGUUCAGGUGAGCUUGAAAACCCCAUUUCGAAAACAGAGGAAUCGUCAUCUUCUUUAUCUGGUGAGGACAACAUUGUGCUCAAAUUUGAUCACUUCUCGCAAAAAUAUAUAUAAACAAUAAUUAAUGUUUAGCUGUUGAGCAUAUUCAAUACAUAUAUAUCAGUAAAUUGUGCCGAAGCUCGAAGGUGAUUCCUUGUUGUCUGACAACCUGUUUUAUUUUACAAUAGUCCACUGAUUGGAUUAGGAUAUUCCCAUCAAUUAACUCUCUGACAACGGAAAAAACUUUUCUUUGUUAUUGGUUAAGUUUACCGCUUUGACCAGGUGUAAUGUUCAUAUGAUAUACUUCGCAUGUGCGCUCUUCCCACAUUCAACAUAUUGAGCUUCAAUUGUCAAUGCCAGUAGUUUUGAGAGAGAGUUUUUAUAUAUAGAUAUGCCACAAAUGAAAAAGUGGCCUGUUCGCGUAAGGCAAGGCAAAGAAAGGCGUAUGUAUAUGUUGCUGGAAAGCCCCUAGCAAAGACAGGCGUCGAGUAUCAUCAGUGCUGCCGGCGUGAAAAGUGAGGAUAAUAAGCCUCUCAAGGGAAUAUAUUACCAGGCAUGAACGAGGCUGUUGAAGCAUUUGUUGUCUUCCAUGCUUCGGUAUCUGGGCGAAUUCUGCCAGAACACUUCAACUUCGCGUUUGGCAAGGUCCCAAACUUCAUUUGUGUCAAUUCGGCAAAACAGAGAAUUUGAGACAUGUUUGCGGCUGGUAGAAAUGUUCAGUCACUCGGGUGACUGGAUAUUAGAUGUUAAUUUACCCGAAGCUGGCGGUGUUGCAGCAGUCACGAUCGAGCGCAAUUACCUCAUUCUGGUAAAAACAGAAGAGGAGGAACGAGAGGCCAGGCGAAAGUUGAAAGAACUUUAGAACCUAUAAAUCUAUAUAUAUAUAUAAUAUAUAUUAUACAUCUUCAUUGUGUGCUGGGUAUUCCCGGCUCUACGUGGGAAAACAUACCAUAAUGAAACUUUAAUUAAGACAACUUACUUUUUAAAUUGUCAGAAUGUUCCUUUGCUAUUUACAAAAUAUACUUCUAAAUUGGUUUCACUUGACCAUUGCCCAUUCGACUUGCGUAGAGAAUAUAACCCGAAUAAUUGUAGAUACCGUGCACUGCGUUACUCGGACACCCCUAUAUGUCUCUCACAUUGAGAUAUAAGGGUUCCGAAAUUCGGACACCCCUAUAUGCCUCUCGCAUUGAGAUAUAGAGGUUUCCGAAAUUCGGACACCCUUAUAUGUCUCUCACAUUGAGAUAUACGGGUUUCCGAAAUUCGGACACCCCUAUA